ACAGGCUUAACACAUGCAAGUCGAGGGGCAGCAUGGUCUUAGCUUGCUAAGGCCGAUGGCGACCGGCGCACGGGUGAGUAACACGUAUCCAACCUGCCGUCUACUCUUGGACAGCCUUCUGAAAGGAAGAUUAAUACAAGAUGGCAUCAUGAGUCCGCAUGUUCACAUGAUUAAAGGUAUUCCGGUAGACGAUGGGGAUGCGUUCCAUUAGAUAGUAGGCGGGGUAACGGCCCACCUAGUCUUCGAUGGAUAGGGGUUCUGAGAGGAAGGUCCCCCACAUUGGAACUGAGACACGGUCCAAACUCCUACGGGAGGCAGCAGUGAGGAAUAUUGGUCAAUGGGCGAGAGCCUGAACCAGCCAAGUAGCGUGAAGGAUGACUGCCCUAUGGGUUGUAAACUUCUUUUAUAAAGGAAUAAAGUCGGGUAUGGAUACCCGUUUGCAUGUACUUUAUGAAUAAGGAUCGGCUAACUCCGUGCCAGCAGCCGCGGUAAUACGGAGGAUCCGAGCGUUAUCCGGAUUUAUUGGGUUUAAAGGGAGCGUAGAUGGAUGUUUAAGUCAGUUGUGAAAGUUUGCGGCUCAACCGUAAAAUUGCAGUUGAUACUGGAUAUCUUGAGUGCAGUUGAGGCAGGCGGAAUUCGUGGUGUAGCGGUGAAAUGCUUAGAUAUCACGAAGAACUCCGAUUGCGAAGGCAGCCUGCUAAGCUGCAACUGACAUUGAGGCUCGAAAGUGUGGGUAUCAAACAGGAUUAGAUACCCUGGUAGUCCACACGGUAAACGAUGAAUACUCGCUGUUUGCGAUAUACUGCAAGCGGCCAAGCGAAAGCGUUAAGUAUUCCACCUGGGGAGUACGCCGGCAACGGUGAAACUCAAAGGAAUUGACGGGGGCCCGCACAAGCGGAGGAACAUGUGGUUUAAUUCGAUGAUACGCGAGGAACCUUACCCGGGCUUAAAUUGCAGAUGAAUUACGGUGAAAGCCGUAAGCCGCAAGGCAUCUGUGAAGGUGCUGCAUGGUUGUCGUCAGCUCGUGCCGUGAGGUGUCGGCUUAAGUGCCAUAACGAGCGCAACCCUUGUUGUCAGUUACUAACAGGUUCCGCUGAGGACUCUGACAAGACUGCCAUCGUAAGAUGUGAGGAAGGUGGGGAUGACGUCAAAUCAGCACGGCCCUUACGUCCGGGGCUACACACGUGUUACAAUGGGGGGUACAGAGGGCCGCUACCACGCGAGUGGAUGCCAAUCCCCAAAACCUCUCUCAGUUCGGACUGGAGUCUGCAACCCGACUCCACGAAGCUGGAUUCGCUAGUA
rnacentral:rRNA from 1 species